rnacentral:lncRNA from 1 species
AUUUUUCUGGGGUAGUUUAAAAGAAUUGAUAAUUACCUAAAUUUAACUUGGAAACUACAGAUUUGGGUGGGGAAUUAAUGCUAAUAGUUUGCUUAAAUUAAAAUUAGAUUGUUUCCAUUUUUCUGUAGGAUGAUGUUGAUAAAUGUUUUUGUAUAAUCAACUAUUUUCUCUAAACAUCUAUUAUAUACUAAACAAAAAGAACUUGUAUUUUGUGAAUUGUUUUCAAAUGACUUAAUUUGUC